rnacentral:rRNA from 1 species
CUUAACACAUACCACCCUGAACAUGCCCGAUCUCUUCUGAUCUCCGAAGUUAAGCAGAUUUGGUUAGUCCUGGUUAGUACUUGGAUGGGAGACUGCCUAGGAAUACUGGGUGCUGUAGGC